UUACUAUGCUGCACGUACCGAUUUACAAUGUGUGAUUAUGCUCAGAUUCCGCAACUAAGGCCUGUUGACUAAAUUAAUACACAAGAAGCUGGAGUCUUUAAUUAUGAUCAAACACCAUCUUCUCAUGGUUUAAUCUUCAAAACGCAUAAUUACUUCAUCUCCUACUUCGAAAUGAUAUAAUUCGGAGUCGACUAUCGAUAUAUAGUUGUGCAUAAAAUAUUUUUGCAUUAGAUUUUCUUAAUGUACAGUAGCUGAUUUUGCAAAAACGGGUUCAACGAAGGUGGGAUUCUGCGGGGCUCUCGAUUUGUUAUGUAAAUGCAAUGAUAAUGGGAUGACGUCAGGCAGUAUACAUCACUGCUUCCUGGGAAAGCUGGAACACACUGUCUAAUUAUUGUAGGGUUACGGCAAGAUAAUACUCCCUCCGUCCCAGUCAUUUGUAUACAAAUGGCUGGGACACGGAGACCAAGAAAUUGUGUAAGAAAUUAGUAAAGUUAGAUGAAAAGUGGGUAUAGUGGUGUGACCUAUUUAUAUUUAAUAAUAGAUUUGAGAUAGUGGAGGAAAGUAGUGGGUGUAAUAGUGUUUAUAUUAUUAUAGAAUGAAGAUAGUGGAGGAAAGUAGUUGGUGUAAUGAUAUUUUAUAUUAUAAAAAUUUACGACUUUUGGAAUGUAUACAAUUGAUGGGACGUCCCAAAAAGGAAACUGUAUACAAUUCACUGGGACGGAGGGAGUAGUACACUAAUAAUGCACUCCUUGAUAGGACAGCUAAACAUGAUUUAAUAAUCGCUCG
rnacentral:lncRNA from 1 species